ACGAAUGACAGUAAACAAAUUGAAGUUUUGGUUAAAACGCGUUCAAAAAUUUCACCGAUCAAAAUUCUUUGCCAAAUCUACAACAGGAAAAAAUGCCUUGCCCACCGUGCUGUUCUCCCUGCUACCCAUGCUGCUACCCCGCCCUUGCGCCCUGUUACCCGGUAUCUUGCUCGCCGUGCGUGUGCGCUCCCUACUGCAUGCCGUGUGCACCACCCUGCCCUCCCAAGUGCUAGCAUGGCUACGAUUGGGUGCCAUUAAAAGCCGAGGCAAUUUUGAAAUGUAAUUUAUAUAAAUGAAGAAAUAUAUGAGCGUUUAGUUAU